ACGGGAGGCAGCAGUAGGGAAUCUUCCACAAUGGACGCAAGUCUGAUGGAGCAACGCCGCGUGAAUGAAGAAGGCCUUCGGGUCGUAAAAUUCUGUUGUUAGAGAAGAACAUUCGGGAGAGUAACUGUUCUCGUAUUUACGGUAUCUGACCAGAAAGCCACGGCUAACUACGUGCCAGCAGCCGCGGUAAUACUUAGGUGGCAAGAGUUGUCCGGAUUUAUUGGGCGUAAAGGGAACGCAGGCGGUUUUUUAAGUCUGAUGUGAAAGCCGUCGGCUUAACCGGAGAAUAGCAUUGGAAACUGGAAGACUUGAGUGCAGAAGAGGAGAGUGGAACUCCAUGUGUAGCGGUGAAAUGCGUAGAUAUAUGGAAGAACACCAGUGGCGAAAGCGGCUCUCUGGUCUGUAACUGACGCUGGGGUUCGAAAGCGUGGGUAGCAAACAGGAUUAGAUACCCUGAUA
rnacentral:rRNA from 1 species